GUCGAGCGGAAACGAUUCUAGCUUACUAGAAGAUGACGAGCGGCGGACGGGUGAGUAAUGCUUGGGAACAUGCCUUUAGGUGGGGGACAACCAUUGGAAACGAUGGCUAAUACCGCAUAAUGUCUACGGACCAAAGGGGGCUUCGGCUCUCGCCUUUAGAUUGGCCCAAGUGGGAUUAGCUAGUUGGUGAGGUAAUGGCUCACCAAGGCGACGAUCCCUAGCUGGUUUGAGAGGAUGAUCAGCCACACUGGAACUGAGACACGGUCCAGACUCCUACGGGAGGCAGCAGUGGGGAAUAUUGCACAAUGGGCGCAAGCCUGAUGCAGCCAUGCCGCGUGUGUGAAGAAGGCCUUCGGGUUGUAAAGCACUUUCAGUUGUGAGGAAAGGUUAGUAGUUAAUACCUGCUAGCUGUGACGUUAGCAACAGAAGAAGCACCGGCUAACUCCGUGCCAGCAGCCGCGGUAAUACGGAGGGUGCGAGCGUUAAUCGGAAUUACUGGGCGUAAAGCGUACGCAGGCGGUUUGUUAAGCGAGAUGUGAAAGCCCCGGGCUCAACCUGGGAACUGCAUUUCGAACUGGCAAACUAGAGUGUGAUAGAGGGUGGUAGAAUUUCAGGUGUAGCGGUGAAAUGCGUAGAGAUCUGAAGGAAUACCGAUGGCGAAGGCAGCCACCUGGGUCAACACUGACGCUCAUGUACGAAAGCGUGGGGAGCAAACGGGAUUAGAUACCCCGGUAGUCCACGCCGUAAACGAUGUCUACUAGGAGUUCGGUUUUUCGGAACUGUCUUCCAAAGCUA
rnacentral:rRNA from 1 species